GACGGCCUGAUGAGCAAGGGUUCCUCGGCACUGUCAAUCAGCCGAGGGUUAGCCGAUCCUAAGUCCCCCCGUAAGUCGACGGGGACAACGGGAAACUGGUUAAUAUUCCAGUGCCAUCACGCAACAAAAGUCAACACCGCGGAAAACAUCGAGCCGGGCCUUCGCCCGGUCGAAUCGGAGAAGCUCGUGGACGCCGUCACGGCAAGAAGCGAGCGAAGCCCGAGACAGGGCAAGUCGAUGGUAUCCGGGGUCCGUGAAACGACGAGCGUGAUGAUCGUACCGAGAUCCGACACAGGUGCUCUCCCAGCGAAAGGGAAGGCCCGUCGGGAGAACCGACGUUAGGGAAUUCGGCAAGUUAGUCCCGUACCUUCGGAAGAAGGGAUGCCUGCUUUGGAGAAAGCAGGUCGCAGUGACUCGGGCGCUCCGACUGUCUAGUAACAACACAGGUGACCGCAAAUCCGCAAGGACUCGUACGGUCACUGAAUCCUGCCCAGUGCGGGUAUCUGAACACCUCGUACAAGAGGACGAAGGACCCGUCAACGGCGGGGGUAACUAUGACCCUCUUAAGGUAGCGUAGUACCUUGCCGCUUCAGUAGCGGCUUGCAUGAAUGGAUAAACGAGAGCGCCACUGUCCCAACGUUGGACCCGGUGAACUGUACGUUCCAGUGCGGAGUCUGGAGACCCCCAAGGGGAAGCGAAGACCCUAUAGAGCUUUACUGCAGGCUGUCGCUGAGACGUGGUCGCUACUGUGCAGCAUAGGUAGGAGCCGUUACACAGGUACCCGCGCUAGCGGGCCACCGAGGCAGCAUUGAAAUACUACCCGGUAGUGACUGCGACUCUCACUCCUGGCGGAGGACACCGGUAGCCGGGCAGUUUGACUGGGGCGGUACGCGCUCGAAAAGAUAUCGAGCGCGCCCGAAGAUCUCCUCACCCGGGUCGGGAACCCGGGGAAGAGCGCAAGAGCACACGGAGGUCUGACAGUGUCAUUCCCAACGAGUGACGCUGACGCGAAAGCGUGGUCUAGCGAACCUACGAGGCUCCGGAAUGGGGCCCGUAGAUGACAGAAAAGCUACCUUAGGGAUAACAGAGUCGUCACCCGCAAGAGCACAUAUCGACCGGGUGGCUUGCUACCUCGAUGUCGGUUCCCUCCAUCCUGCCCGUGCAGAAGCGGGCAAGGGUGAGGUUGUUCGCCUAUUAAAGGAGGUCGUGAGCUGGGUUUAGACCGUCGUGAGACAGGUCGGCUGCUAUCUAUUGGGGGUGUGAGGUACCUGACGUGAACGGUCGUAUAGUACGAGAGGAACUACGAUUGGUCGCCACUGGUGUACCGGUUGUUCGAGAGAGCAGAUGCCGGGUAGCCACGCGACACGGGGUAAGAGCUGAACGCAUCUAAGCUCGAAACCCACAUGGAAACGAGGUACCGUAGAGGUCCCGCCUAGAAGAGGCGGUAGAUAGACUCGGGGUGUACGCACCAAGGCAACGAGGUGUUAAGCCCACGAGCACUAACAGACCAAGC
rnacentral:rRNA from 1 species